GACGAACGCUGGCGGCGUGCCUAAUACAUGCAAGUAGAACGCUGAAGGAGGAGCUUGCUUCUCUGGAUGAGUUGCGAACGGGUGAGUAACGCGUAGGUAACCUGCCUGGUAGCGGGGGAUAACUAUUGGAAACGAUAGCUAAUACCGCAUAACAGUAGAUAUCGCAUGAUAUCUACUUGAAAGGUGCAAUUGCAUCACUACCAGAUGGCCCUGCGUUGUAUUAGCUAGUUGGUGAGGUAACGGCUCACCAAGGCGACGAUACAUAGCCGACCUGAGAGGGGGAAGGCCCACUGGGGGGGUGAGAGGCCGCCCUGGCUCCGAGGGGAGGCCGAGGCUGGGAAUGUUGGGAAAUGGGGGGAAGUUUGCACGAGCAACGGCGGGGUGGUGAAGAAGGGUUGCGGGUCGGAAGACUGUGUUGUAAGUGAAAAACGAUUUCGGAAGUGAAAAAGCUCCGUGUGACGGUAGUGUAUAAAGAAGGGCCGGCUAACUACGUG
rnacentral:rRNA from 1 species